GUGGGGAAUUUUGGACAAUGGGCGCAAGCCUGAUCCAGCAAUGCCGCGUGCAGGAAGAAGGCCUUCGGGUUGUAAACUGCUUUUGUACGGAACGAAACGGUCCGGGUUAAUACCCUGGGCUAAUGACGGUACCGUAAGAAUAAGCACCGGCUAACUACGUGCCAGCAGCCGCGGUAAUACGUAGGGUGCAAGCGUUAAUCGGAAUUACUGGGCGUAAAGCGUGCGCAGGCGGUUUUGUAAGACAGUGGUGAAAUCCCCGGGCUCAACCUGGGAACUGCCAUUGUGACUGCAAGGCUAGAGUGCGGCAGAGGGGGAUGGAAUUCCGCGUGUAGCAGUGAAAUGCGUAGAUAUGCGGAGGAACACCGAUGGCGAAGGCAAUCCCCUGGACCUGUACUGACGCUCAUGCACGAAAGCGUGGGGAGCAAACAGGAUUAGAUACCCUGGUAGUCC
rnacentral:rRNA from 1 species